GUCAAUAUAUGUUUAUUUAUGAAUUAUAGAAUACUUUCUUGGAACACAAUUAUUUACCAUUUGAAAUCAAUGAAAGACUCUAUUAUUAUGCUUAACAUAAUAGUAGCUAUUAAGGUAAAUCUAUUUUGUUCACAAUUUCCUCCACACAACACAUUAAUAGUUUCUUAUCAUCCAGCAUUGUGUGAUUGUAUGGUCAACUUUUUGGUCAUUCAGCACAGAACAUUGACAUUAUUGUGGUUUCAAUAUCUUUUGUUAUUUCAAAAAACUUCAAAUCAUUGACUGAGUGAUGAAAAUAAUUACUGAUCCAACUUUUGUCUUUUAAUUUAUUCUGGUCUUGUUUCUAUGCUUUCUCCAUUUAUUCUAGAUGAUGAAUAUCAAUCCUUCUGAAAAAGAACCAAUAAAUCUGAAGUUAUGUAUUCCAAAUCUCGGGAUUAAUGCACAGUCUUUUAUAAAGGUUACAGAAUCAGAUACAGAAAAUAGGGGCGUAAUUCAUGUAAUUUAAAAGGUUUUUAAAAAAACGUUGAGAAUAGCAAAACAAUUUUUUGGAAGAUUCAACCUAAAAAAAUGAUACCUUUUUACAUGUUUACUAUCUUGGAGGGGGAUUUCAUAAGGAUAAGCAGUGUACUUCAGCUGAACCCCCCUGCCCAACACACACACACACACACUCAAAACAAGAUAUAUUGUUA
rnacentral:lncRNA from 1 species